UUUUGUCCUAUAUCAGAUAAGCAAAAUUUAUAUUGCAUUAUUUUUUUAUAUAACAGAUAUUUUACCCACAAAGAGCAAUUUUACCCAGUUGAAGAUAAAAAAUUCAAAAGCAAUUUAAACUUAACAAUUGAGGGGACACCUGGGUGGCUCAGUGGUUGAGCGUUUGCCUUUGGCUCAGGGCGUGAUCCUAGAGUUCCCACAUAGGGCUCCCUGCAUGGAAACUGCUUCUCCUCCCUCUUCCUAUGUCUCUGCCUCUCUCUGUGUCUCUCAUGAAUAAAUACAUAAAAUCUAAGAAAAAAAAAUAAACCCAACAUAUUAGAUCUCAUACAGAUAGUUAUUUUUUACCCAUUUAUAAUUUGCUAUAGAUCCCUUCCUUUUUUUUUUUCAAAUUAUGUUUUAUUGUUUUCCCUAUUAAAAAAUGAUCCUAUUAAAGUGACUGGAGCCCUCCUUCUGUAAACAUUAGAGAUACUUCAUACUUUUUCAAUUUAAAAUUAUUUAAAUGGAAGUUAUUCAAGUAGUUUAUUACCUCUUCCUAUAGAGGAAAAAAAGUGUGUUCCUCUGUGUGUGUGUUUGUGUGUUCGCAGGCUUGCCAAGUUUGUGUGUGUGAUUUACUUAAAUUAAGAUUGCUUUCUUUCCUUUCAGAAACCUUUCCCAAAAUGUUAGAAGAAGCAUAGAAAAACAUUUGCAACUUUUGUUUCACUUGGUGAACUAGUCAGGAACUGUGCGCAAUAAUCCAACAUCAUCUUAAGAUUUUUGGCUGUGUUUUCUCAAGAGCAAGAAAAGAUUUUGCUUCCAGUUCCUGCACAUUAUUUUUUACUCGUUGGAUUUCCUAUUCAGCACCACUUUACUUUUAUUCUUUUGGUUAUUAAUCUGUUCAUUUUGGAAGAAUAAGUAAUUAAAACAGUUUUGAAAAGUUUUCUGUGUAUGAGAUAUUUUGUUGGAGCAUCUACAAAAGCAAUAAAAAUACUUGUCCAAAUCCUCAAGAUGCAGAUGGUGUCAUGAAUGUUUUGGAGGCAGGAAACCAUACAGUCCUAUUUUAAGAGAUUCUAUUUAUUUUUAAGUCAAAUAAAAAUUUUCCCUGCUCUUUAAAGUACCUGACUGGCAAGACAACUUUUAUGGCAUCCAUUUAUAGAAAAAAAAAGAAAAAGAAAAGAACACACAAUUCUUUUGGUAGAUUGAGGUUUGAAUACCACAGCUCUUGGAGACAUAGAGAUCUAGAGCUUAAUUUGGAGUUUAUUUAUUUUUUCACCUACUUACUUGCUAUCUUCCUAAACAUGUUAAUUUUUAUCUGUUUUAUUUCUUCUUUUUCAGUGUAAUUACAUCAUCUCCAUAACCAGGAGAAUUGCUGCCUGCUCCUCAGUUCUGUAUCACUAAUGAAGAUCUUUGUCUGUUGGAUUUCCUUAGUACAGCUAGGAAAGAAGGCAUUUAUCUUUCAAGACUCUCCUUGGUUAUCAUUACUUCCAGGAAAUCUUACUGUGUUUUGGCUCUCUUCUGUGACUCAGUAACUAGAGUGAAGGGAAGGACGAAAUGUCAUUACUACAGCUUUAAACCAGUAUUUAGCCUAAAAAUUUAUUGCUGGGCGUCUUGGCAGCAAGCUGUGCAAGUCGAAGUGGAAUCUGAUUGAGGUGAGUUAAUUAAUGUGGUGGCAGCUUGGAAUGUUGUCCAGCUGCCAGUGAGAAUUAUGUUUGUUUGCCUUUGGCCCAAGUGUGAAAUGGCUGGUUGUUGAUUUCAGAAGUGUGAGUGUACAUUUUUAUAUCUCACAUGAAUGAAUACAUUUUUUGUAUCCUACACAUUUGGGGAAAUGCUAAAAUUUAUUGGGUAAUGUUAUUUACUACUUGUGUGGCAGAAAGAGAAAAGUAGAAUUUUACGCCAGAGGUUGACUUUGCAUCUGUAGAAAAAGCAAAAGCAGGUGGCAUAUAAAUCUAUGAACAGGUAAAUAAGCCAUCUGAAAUUAGGUCAUCUGGGCUAAUGUUUUCAGGAAUAACUUUAAA